AUUUUAAAUUGGGUCAUGUUUAAAAUCAAAAAGAGAAUUUCCGAUAGAGUUUUAGUAUAGUGUAAGCACUGUCCAACAAAGGCCUUGAUUCGAGCCCAGCUGCGCGACGGGACAGCCAACUUCCAUUAGCACAUCAAACGUCUUCAUCCACAUCUUAUAGAUAAAGUGGCAGCAAUGAAUAAA